rnacentral:rRNA from 1 species
GUGAACAACGAAGGGCGCGCGGUGGAUGCCUAGGCUCUCGGAGGCGAUGAAGGACGCGAUAAGCCGCGAUAGGCCACGGCGAGGUGCAAGUAACCCUUGACCCGUGGAUUUCCGAAUGGGGCAACCCGGCUGGAUAGAUUCCAGUCAUGCAGUAAUGCAAGCGAACGCGGGGAACUGAAACAUCUCAUUACCCGCAGGAGAAGAAAACAAAAUGUGAUUCCCCCAGUAGUGGCGAGCGAACGGGGAAGAGCCCAAACCGUUGCCGUUUCGGCGACAGCGGGGUCAUGGGACCGCGACAUUCGACGGAAGACGAAGUGCAAUUACCUGGAAAGGUAAGCCGUGGAGGGUGACAGCCCCGUGCACGACACCUCUUUCGAAGAUAGCGGGAUCCCGAGUAGGGCGGGACACGAGAAAUCCUGCCUGAAUUCGCCAGGACCGCCUGGCAAGGCUAAAUACUCCCGAGAGACCGAUAGUGAACCAGUACCGCGAGGGAAAGGUGAAAAGUACCCCGAGCAGGGGGGUGAAAUAGACCCUGAACCCGCGCGCCUACAAGCGGUCGGAGCCAUGAAAUAUGGUGACGGCGUGCCUUUUGCAUAAUGAGCCUACGAGUUAGUCGUCACCAGCGAGGUUAAGGGCUUCAGGCCCGUUAGCCGAAGUGAAAGCGAGCCUUAACAGGGCGUCGAGUUGGUGGCGCUAGACGCGAAACCUUGUGAUCUACCCACGAGCAGGUUGAAGUCGCGGUAACACGUGAUGGAGGACCGAACCGGUAAACGUUGAAAAGUUUUCGGAUGACUCGCGGGUAGGGGUGAAAGGCCAAUCAAACUGGGAAAUAGCUCGUACUCUCCGAAAUGCAUUUCGGUGCAGCCUGUGAUGUUCUGUUCCAGAGGUAGAGCUACUGGUUGGACGCGAGGGCUUCACCGCCUAUCAAAUCCGGAUAAACUCCGAAUGCUGGAACACGAAAUCAUGGAGUGAGCCCGCGGGUGCUAAGGUCCGCGGACGAGAGGGAAAGAACCCGGACCACCGGCUAAGGUCCCGGAUGGACAGUUAAGUUGAUCAAACGAGGUGGGAUCGCGGAGACAGCUAGGAUGUUGGCUUGGAAGCAGCCAUUCAUUUAAAGAGUGCGUAACAGCUCACUAGUCGAGCGAUCCCGCGUGGAUAAUACACGGGCAUCAAACUGUCAACCGAAGCCGUGGGGUUAGUGAUGAGCUAACCGGUAGGAGAGCAUUCCUGCCAGCUUUGAAGGUCACCCGCGAGAGUGACUGGAGCGGCAUGAAAAGCAAAUGUAGGCAUAAGUAACGAUAAUGGGGGCGAGAACCCCCCACGCCGCAAGACCAAGGAUUCCCCGGCAAUGUCAAUCAGCCGGGGGUCAGCCGGCCUCUAAGGCUCACCCGAAAGGGGAUGCCGACGAGAAACGGGUUAACAUUCCCGUGCUUCUCGUCACCGUGACGCGGUGACGGGGUGAUGAAUGGACCGCGCGCUGACGGAAUAGCGCGUUGAAGGCCGUACCCGAUGAGGGUGGUAGUCAAGCACGCCACCCGAGGCGAGAGCCGAUAGUACCACGAGACCCCGGUCGAGUGGAUAGCGUCCAGGCAAUUUACCCCCUAGAAAACCCGCUAAACUUCAAGUGACGAGGAACCGUACUGUAAACGGACACACGUGGUCGGGUAGAACAUACCAAGGCGCUCGAGUGAUUCAUGGUCAAGGAACUAGGCAAAAUAGUCCUGUAACUUCGGGAAAAAGGACGCUCUAGUGAUAGAGCCGCAGAGUAAUGGCCCAGGCGACUGUUUACCAAAAACACAUGGCUAUGCCAAAUCGAAAGAUGACGUAUAUGGCCUGACACCUGCCCGGUGCCGGAAGGUUAAGAGGAGAGCUCAUCGGAAACGAGAAGGUUUGAAUUGAAGCCCCGGUAAACGGCGGCCGUAACUAUAACGGUCCUAAGGUAGCGAAAUUCCUUGUCGGGU